rnacentral:lncRNA from 1 species
UAGGGAAGUGUGGGAGAAAAUUUAGGGAUAGGAGGAGUUAAUUGAGGGAUUUAGGGGGAAGUGGAGAUUGAGUAGAAUCCUAUGCUUUCAAAAAAUUUCUAUUCUUCAGAAAAAAGGCGAGCAAACAUCCCCCUCCUCUUCUUGGCCGAAUCUUCCCCUCCUCAUCUUUUUUUUUCUUUUUUUAUUUUUUUCACCUUUUUGUUGUCAACCGAAAAUCCUCCACUUGCUGCCAUUAUUUUCAAAAUUCGUUCCCCUUUCUGAUCUAAAACUUAUGACGCUAGUUUCCCUUCCCCUCAAGCCAACCGUGCAUUAUCUUGCUCCCCUCCUUGUCUGAAUAUUGCUUGGUGAGUUCUGCUUUACUUUCUGUCCCCUUUCGGCUGUGCACUUCCUUUUCCA